rnacentral:rRNA from 1 species
UACGGAGGGUGCAAGCGUUUGUUCGGAAUUAUUGGGCGUAAAGGGCAGGUAGGUGGUCCCAAAAGUCUGCUGUGAAAUCCCCAGGCUUAACCUGGGAACUGCGUCGGAUACUGGAUGGCUUGAAUUCGGGAGAGGGAUGCAGAAUUCCAGGUGUAGCGGUGAAAUGCGCAGAUAUCAGGAGGAACACCGGUGGCGAAGGCGGGGUCUCUGGGCCGAUACUGACGCUGAGGAGCGAAAGCGUGGGGGAGCGAACAGG